AGACAGAGUUGUAGCCACGCAUCCUCAGCUCUAACCCACAGUCUGCUCUGACAGGAAAGAAGAAAAGAAGUUCGGCAUUCAAAAGAAAGCAAGAAAGAAAAUUAAAGUAAGAAUAUUUUUCACCAACAGAGGGGAGGGGAAUAAAAAUUUCCAUAAUACCCAACAUGCAAAUGCAGUGAAAUGGGCACUUUGGGCUACAAAACUAGUGAAACGCAGAUCCUUUCAGCGCGAUUUGGAAAUUGUGGUGAUGGUAAUGAUGACGGUGAUGGUGAUGGUGAUCUAGACUGAGAUGCCCAGGGCAUCAGCCAAGCACGCUGGUGGUGUGUUUGUAAGGACACUACUCAAGAGAGACAUCAGGAGAGCAACCAAGAGGGGAAAACCAGCCCUGAAUGUGGGAUCCAGACAGAAAGGGGAAGGGAAAGUCAGUCAGCGUGCUAUGAGCUUCAUCCCUCCCCAGCGAGUACACCAUGGCCCUGAGACUUGGCCUUCUCCAGCCCUUCCAGAGAGACUCACACCAGCCACUCACGAGAAAGCCGCUGGGUCUUCAGUUUGGGAUGACACUGCUUCAUUGACUCUCCUUGUUCUGAGGAUUCCAGCUGAUGGGCAAAUAGUGGCUAGAUUCUCUCUCCAGCACGUGGAAGGUCACUGUUGGAUUACCUGGCUUUCAGUCACAUUCAUAUGCCAAUCAAAUAAAUCCCCU
rnacentral:lncRNA from 1 species